AGAUUGAACGCUGGCGGCAUGCCUUACACAUGCAAGUCGAACGGCAGCAUGGGAGCUUGCUCCUGAUGGCGAGUGGCGAACGGGUGAGUAACAUAUCGGAACGUACCUUGUAAUGGGGGAUAACUCAGCGAAAGCUGGGCUAAUACCGCAUACGCCCUGAGGGGGAAAGUGGGGGAUCGCAAGACCUCAUGUUAUAAGAGCGGCCGAUAGUCUGAUUAGCUAGUUGGCGGGUAAAGGCCCACAAGGCAGUCGAUCAGUAGACUGGUCUGAGAGGACGACCAGCCACACGUGAACUGAGACACGUCCAGACGUCCUACGGGAGGCAGCAGGUGGGAAUUUUGGAACGAGUGGGGGACCAACCGUGACUCGAG
rnacentral:rRNA from 1 species